AAAUUGAAGAGUUUGAUCAUGGCUCAGAUUGAACGCUGGCGGCAGGCCUAACACAUGCAAGUCGAGCGGUAGCACAGAGAGCUUGCUCUCGGGUGACGAGCGGCGGACGGGUGAGUAAUGUCUGGGAAACUGCCUGAUGGAGGGGGAUAACUACUGGAAACGGUAGCUAAUACCGCAUAAUGUCGCAAGACCAAAGUGGGGGACCUUCGGGCCUCAUGCCAUCAGAUGUGCCCAGAUGGGAUUAGCUAGUAGGUGGGGUAAUGGCUCACCUAGGCGACGAUCCCUAGCUGGUCUGAGAGGAUGACCAGCCACACUGGAACUGAGACACGGUCCAGACUCCUACGGGAGGCAGCAGUGGGGAAUAUUGCACAAUGGGCGCAAGCCUGAUGCAGCCAUGCCGCGUGUGUGAAGAAGGCCUUCGGGUUGUAAAGCACUUUCAGCGGGGAGGAAGGCGAUAAGGUUAAUAACCUUGGCGAUUGACGUUACCCGCAGAAGAAGCACCGGCUAACUCCGUGCCAGCAGCCGCGGUAAUACGGAGGGUGCAAGCGUUAAUCGGAAUUACUGGGCGUAAAGCGCAUGCAGGCGGUCUGUCAAGUCGGAUGUGAAAUCCCCGGGCUCAACCUGGGAACUGCAUUCGAAACUGGCAGGCUAGAGUCUUGUAGAGGGGGGUAGAAUUCCAGGUGUAGCGGUGAAAUGCGUAGAGAUCUGGAGGAAUACCGGUGGCGAAGGCGGCCCCCUGGACAAAGACUGACGCUCAGGUGCGAAAGCGUGGGGAGCAAACAGGAUUAGAUACCCUGGUAGUCCACGCCGUAAACGAUGUCGAUUUGGAGGUUGUGCCCUUGAGGCGUGGCUUCCGGAGCUAACGCGUUAAAUCGACCGCCUGGGGAGUACGGCCGCAAGGUUAAAACUCAAAUGAAUUGACGGGGGCCCGCACAAGCGGUGGAGCAUGUGGUUUAAUUCGAUGCAACGCGAAGAACCUUACCUGGUCUUGACAUCCACAGAACUUAGCAGAGAUGCUUUGGUGCCUUCGGGAACUGUGAGACAGGUGCUGCAUGGCUGUCGUCAGCUCGUGUUGUGAAAUGUUGGGUUAAGUCCCGCAACGAGCGCAACCCUUAUCCUUUGUUGCCAGCGGUUAGGCCGGGAACUCAAAGGAGACUGCCAGUGAUAAACUGGAGGAAGGUGGGGAUGACGUCAAGUCAUCAUGGCCCUUACGACCAGGGCUACACACGUGCUACAAUGGCAUAUACAAAGAGAAGCGACCUCGCGAGAGCAAGCGGACCUCAUAAAGUAUGUCGUAGUCCGGAUUGGAGUCUGCAACUCGACUCCAUGAAGUCGGAAUCGCUAGUAAUCGUAGAUCAGAAUGCUACGGUGAAUACGUUCCCGGGCCUUGUACACACCGCCCGUCACACCAUGGGAGUGGGUUGCAAAAGAAGUAGGUAGCUUAACCUUCGGGAGGGCGCUUACCACUUUGUGAUUCAUGACUGGGGUGAAGUCGUAACAAGGUAACCGUAGGGGAACCUGCGGUUGGAUCACCUCCUUA
rnacentral:rRNA from 1 species